rnacentral:rRNA from 1 species
AACGAACGCUGGCGGCGCGCCUAAUACAUGCAAGUCGAGCGAGAAGGUGUAGCAAUACACUUGUAAAGCGGCGAACGGGUGAGGAAUACAUGGGUAAUCUACCAUCGAGUGGGGAAUAACCAACCGAAAGGUUGGCUAAUACCGCGUACGCCUCCGAGUCUUCGGGUUCGGAGGGAAAGCUGCACUGUGAGUGUAGCGCUCUUUGAUGAGCUCAUGUCCUAUCAGCUUGUUGGUAGGGUAACGGCCUACCAAGGCUUUGACGGGUAGCUGGUCUGAGAGGACGAUCAGCCACACUGGCACUGCGACACGGGCCAGACUCCUACGGGAGGCAGCAGUAAGGAAUAUUGCGCAAUGGGCGAAAGCCUGACGCAGCGACGCCGCGUGGGGAUGAAGGUCUUCGGAUUGUAAACCCCUUUCGGGAGGGAAGAUGGAGCGAGCAAUCGUUCGGACGGUACCUCCAGAAGCAGCCACGGCCAACUUCGUGCCAGCAG